UUCCUCUCUUCUGCCCCUAGGUUUAUCAAGCUAUCCCUGUCUAGCGCCCGAUUUUUUUCCACGCUUCUGUUCUUCUCGCUUCUGUCUCCCAAUACUCACUUGCGAAAUCAGAUCCCAAAAUCACAUAAACACAGAGAAAAGCAGCGAGAGCAUAGAAAAUGAAAUCAACAGAGAUGAAACAGCCCAGAAACGUGAGAAGCAUCCGAGAGAGGUAGAGGGUUUUUAGGUUGCAAUCCGUUUUCUCCCUUUUUCUCUUUUACCAAUUUUUUUCGUUAAUUUCCCAAUCUUCUUUUAUGUUUUGAUUUCAAUGAUUUCAUUCUAAAUAGAAGUCUGGGUUUUGGGUUUCUUGCCUUUGUUUUUGUUCUGAGUUUCCAACCUUGGAAUUGAUUGUAGGCUCUAUAGAAAUCUUAGGGUAAGAACCUUCUUCUCAUGAUCAGACUGGAGAUUUGGGCAAAUCCAGGUUUGCUAAUCAGUUUAUGUUGAGCGAAGAGGCUCUUUUGCUUCGACCACAACACUCCAAUUGCUCAAGUGAAGGUAGCAAAGGAAGCAGUUUAUAAACCAAAGUCAUGAAAACUUUCAGAUUUUAGUGAAGGUGGUUUCUGGGUUUUCACUUGUUUCAUCUGCAAAUAUUUCCCCAAUUGUUAAAUAUUUGGUUCAUAUUUCAGGUAGCAAAGGAAGCAGUUUAUAAACCAAAGUGAUUCAGUCCUUGAGGUUCUAAUUGAUGAUGUUAUUAAUAAUGUGUGGCAUAGUUUAUAGAAUUUCGUACAUAGUUGAAGCAUUGUAGUUUUUGUUCUUUUCUGAGUGUAAUGUUUUGUUUUCUUUGGUUCUGUUUUGAGUUUCAGUUUUACAUGUAUGGUUGGUGAUUUUUGCAUUUGUUGUUUUGAACCACUGUUUUAAUAUAUAUUAACAGUUUUGUUCUUAUAGUUAAACCAUAGUACUUAUGUAGGAAAAAGUGCAAGGAUUUGUUGUUAGAUUAAAGAGUCAUAUAUGGUUGAGCUAUAAAAAAAAGGUAGCUUUCUUAGUUUAUCUGUAAGGUAUAUGAUUAAUUAGGCAUUGAACAGUUUUCAUAGUACUUGAGUUAGCUCUAUUUCAAUUUUUUAAUGAACUUUGGCUUAAAAAAUUUGGAGUUUAAAAAUGAGAAAAGCCAAAGUUGUUUGAUGCAUUUAUAAUAAUAACCAUAAUAAUAGCAAGUUAGUUUUGAGUAUAUUUUUGUUACUUUUGAUUUGAGAGUCUUUGUAAAGCAGGUGGUUUAGGUUAUUAGGCUUAGUUAUCUGCAGUAUUUAAAACACUACGGUUAUGCUAGCUAUAAAUCAAUUUUUUUCUCAUGCCAUACAGUAAUCAUAACUCCAAAACAACCAACAAACCACAUGAAGUCGAGAAUGAUUAGCUCUUUUCAUUUGUUACAUUAGGCUUUAGUCUCUACAUCUAACCAUAUUGACAUACCUGCUUUAUAUUGUGUAUUGUACCUUCUAUUCAAUUUGUAUGAUGUUGUGAUUUGUUUUGUUUCUUAGAGGAUCUCUGGUGGUAGUAUCUUUGGAUGGUAGUACUAUCUUUCCAUCUUUAUAAAUUAGGAAUGGUAGAAAGUGAAAAGGACAUCAUUUUCAUUAUGUUUUUGUCUAGAUUUAAACCAAAAGUGAAUCAAAGCUGUUGGAAUCAAGAAGAUACAGAAAAAAAAGAAAAAAAAAAAAGAAGCAAAGUUUAUUAUCUAGAUAGAUAACAAACCAACUGAACAGGGAUAGAUCAUUUUUUGGGAAAUUGGAGAUAUGAGGUAGAAGUUUCUAGGGUAGAUAGAAGUCUCCCAGCUAGAGCAUUUUGGGAACGAUGACCUUUUUGAACAAGCUCCAGCAAGAACCUUUGCUAGAUUAGCUUAUAACCCUUCUAUAAAACUAGCAUUUUUGCACCAGUUCCAGUUGAACAAGCAUCAAAUAAUAUGUAAUGUGUAUAAACACUGUUUGACUACUUCAAUAAUAUGUAACAAUGUUGUUUUUGUA